rnacentral:misc_RNA from 1 species
ACGAGUUUUAAUUGUUAGGUUAGAGUUGAGCUGGUUAAUCUAAUUAAUAUGUGCUUACUCUAAUCGAAACAAGUCCACUCAUUACUUAACACUUGUGAACUUAUUCAUUACAAACAUUAUUAUUUGUUAUUGGAACGUUUGAUUAUUAAAAGUUAAUACAACUUUCAACAACGGAUCUCUUGGCUCUCGCAUCGAUGAAGAACGCAGCGAAAUGCGAUAAGUAAUGUGAAUUGCAGAAUUCAGUGAAUCAUCGAAUCUUUGAACGCACCUUGCGCUCCCUGGUAUUCCGGGGAGCAUGCCUGUUUGAGUGUCGUGAAGUUAUCAUGGUCAUGAUCCUUAAUUAAUCAUGGCUUGGAUUUGGAGGUUUAUGUUGGCUUUCUUAAGUUGACUCCUCUUAAAUAUAUUAGCUCGGUGUCUUAAUACUUAGAGCGGUUCACGGUGUGAUAAUUAUCUACACUUCAACUAAUCUAAGUUAAGCCGGCUUCUAAUAGAUCCUUGGCGAUCACUUUGUGAAUUUGACCUCAAAUCAGGUAGGACUACCCGCUGAACUUAAGCAUAUCAAUAAGCGGAGGAAUCGGCAUCUUGGUCAUUUAGAGGAAGUAAAAGUCGUAACAAGGUUUCCGUAGGUGAACCUGCGGAAGGAUCACUAGUGAUUAAAUCGAGCGUGUCUUCAUUGACCGCUCACCCUUCUCACCAUCCACAUACACCUGUGCACUGUUUAGCCUGAGCCGGUUUUCCGGUCCAGGUUAUCAUUUCAUACAAACUCUAGUCUUAUGAAUGUAAACGUUUUAAUAACAUAAUA